AACCUCCGCAAUGUGAGAAAUCGCGACGGGGGGAUCCCAAGUGCCAUUCUUAACGGGAUGGCUUUUCAUUAGUGUAAAGAGCUUUUGGAAUAAGAGCUGGGCAAGACCGGUGCCAGCCGCCGCGGUAACACCGGCAGCUCUAGUGGUAACAAUUUUUAUUGGGCCUAAAGCGUCCGUAGCCGGUUUAAUAAGUCUCUGGUGAAAUCCUGUAGCUUAACUGUGGGAAUUGCUGGAGAUACUAUUAGACUUGAGACCGGGAGAGGUUAGAGGUACUCCCAGGGUAGAGGCGAAAUUCUGUAAUCCUGGGAGGACCGCCUGUUGCGAAGGCGUCUAACUGGAACGGUUCUGACGGUGAGGGACGAAAGUUAGGGGCGCGAACCGGAUUAGAUACCCGGGUAGUCCUAACCGUAAACGAUGCGGACUUGGUGUUGGGGUGGCUUUGAGCUGCUCCAGUGCCGAAGGGAAGCUGUUAAGUCCGCCGCCUGGGAAGUACGGUCGCAAGACUGAAACUUAAAGGAAGU
rnacentral:rRNA from 1 species